rnacentral:lncRNA from 1 species
CUCCUGCUUCAGCCUCUCAAGUAGCUGAGAUUACAGUACACUUUGUACUUUAAUAUGCAAACUGCCUGCCUGCUCCAGAGAAGCAGCCUUUGUUCCUCAGUUCAUCGCAACACUCAGCCUGUCAGUCAGGUUGUGGGAUCCCUCCUAUCCAGGAACUGUAUGCUGUUGUCCCGGUUCUGACACUUUCCCUCUGAGUCCUUGGACACCUUACCUAACCUCUUGGAAGCUCCUGUCUGUGAAGGGUGUGCACAGAGAGCUUCGGUAGCCUGCGAAGCAGCCAUUUUCACUUCCACGGAGCAGAUGCUGGCCUGGGUGCUGGAAUAUGGAAAUGAGGAAGAUCCUGCCUGAGGAUUUCAUGACAGUGCUGCGAUUACCGACGUGAGCCACUGUGCCCAGCCUCACUUUAAAAAAAAAAAAAGGUUAUGAAGCAUCUCAACACAAGACCUCCUUUGCUCAUCACAACCACCCAGUGAAGCAGGCAAGACAACAGAAACUCCCCACCUGUGAUAGAUGUGAGGCCUGAAGUCUCCCACAUACCCACGGCAGAUGCAACGCACAGCGGUGACCAAUGGACAUGGUCCAAGCAGACCCUUUCCUGAGACUUUCUAAAUGGAGCUGUGUGAGAAGAGUUCCUUUCUGUUUUGCCUCUGGAGCUGAAGGUUGAGAACUCAGAGCUGCCCGUGUUCUACCCUGUGAAAAUAAAGGCAAUCAAUUCACAGAGACAAGCAGAAACAAGGCGUCCAGAGCAAGUCCUUCACAUCACCCUGGACACCCUGGCCCUGAUUUCCACUCCCUGCCAGGCUUGUUUGUCCAAUUCUUCUUUUUGUUCCAAGCACCAUCCCAGCAGGCUUAGUUACCUGUAAGCAUUUGGUUAAUCUCUCUUCUCAGCUAGACCGUAGGCUCCCCGAGUGCAGAAACUAUGUUUAUUUUGGUCUCUGCUGGAUCUCCAGCACCUAAAUAAAUGUUUAUGGUUGACUGCAAGGCAGAUCUGUGUGGGGAAUGAAGAAGAGUAUUAAGACCUCCCAGAUGGGCUGCUGGAGGCCUGUCCAAGGUGGAACUUUGCAUGGUGAGAAAUGCAAUUCAGUAGGAAAACAAAGAACUCCUUCAUCCUCCUCUAGAUUCUGCAGGCAAGUGAUCAGCUCAAGGUGAAGGAUCUAAAACCUGAAAAGAGGCCAAAUGAUUCCUCAAAACCACGCAAGUACGAAGUAGCAGAGCGGAUCUCAAAUCCAGAAUACUACUAAAGUCAUGCCGUGUGACUUCUGAAGCUAGCUCCUAAGAAGUCCUUGCAGCUUCUGCCUGCGACUCUUAGAACACUUGCUUUGAAGGAUGCCAGAUGCUGUCUUAAAAGUCUGAGCACUCUGAAACCAUCAUGCUGUGAGGAAGCCCAAGCUAACCACAUGGGCAAAAAAGAUGCCCUCUGACUGCCACCAUUUGAGACACUCUAAUUAAGAACUGCCUCAUUGAGCCCAUGAGGCCCUGUGAAUGAUAAUAAUAAAUUGUUUUUAACCACUAUGUUUUUGGAUUUGUUAUAAGUUUAUAGAUAACAAGAAAAAGUUAUAUUAGCAUGGUAAUAAAAUUAUGGAUAUGUGUAAGUUUGGUGUUUUGUUUCUUUUUUUUUUUUACACUAAGCCUAUAUUACUGUUGUAAUUUAGGAAAUCACUUGUUUUCCUCCAGCACUUCAAUGUAAGAGUGGCACUACUUAGAAUGUACUUCUUAAGAUAUGGCU